UGUACCUCGUGGGUAAUGUUGGGUUCAGGC
rnacentral:piRNA from 1 species